CACGUAGGAGGCGAGCGUUGUCCGGAAUCAUUGGGCGUAAAGAGCGCGCAGGCGGCUUGGCAAGUCGGGUGUGAAAUCCCGUGGCUCAACCCCGUGACUGCAUCCGAUACUGUCAGGCUAGAGGUAGGUAGGGGAGAUCGGAAUUCCUGGUGUAGCGGUGAAAUGCGCAGAUAUCAGGAAGAACACCCGUGGCUAAGGCGGCUCUCUAGUACGGUACUGACGCUGAGACGCGAAAGCGUGGGGAGCGAACAGG
rnacentral:rRNA from 1 species